CGCCGCAAGAUUCGAUGUGACGGAGAAUCUUGAAAAAUUUUUGGUUUUUGGGUGGAACUAAACAAGGCCUAAUUCAAAUUACACGUUUCCUACUUCAGGCCUGGUUCAGUUUGUGAAAAUUUUUGAAUUUUUUUGCUACUGUAGUACUUUUCGUUUGUUUGUGGCAAAUAUUGUCUACUCAUAAACUAACUAGGAUCAAAAGAUUCGUCUCGUGAUUUACAGGCAAACUGUGU
rnacentral:lncRNA from 1 species